UACGGAGGGUGGCAAACGUUGCUCGGAAUCAUUGGGCGUAAAGCGCACGUAGGCGGUCCGUUAAGUCGGGAGUGAAAGCCCCAGGCUCAACUUGGGAAGUGCUUUCGAAACUGGCGGACUUGAAUACUGAAGAGGAUCGCGGAAUUCCCGGUGUAGAGGUGAAAUUCGUAGAUAUCGGGAGGAACACCAGCGGCGAAGGCGGCGAUCUGGGCAGAUAUUGACGCUGGAGGUGACGAAAGCGGUGGGGAGCAAACAGG
rnacentral:rRNA from 1 species